rnacentral:rRNA from 1 species
AAUCAACGCUGGCGGCGUGCCUAACACAUGCAAGUCGAACGAGAAAGUGGAGCAAUCCAUGAGUAAAGUGGCGACCGGGUGAGUAACACGUGACUAACCUGCCCUAGAGUGGGGGAUAACCUCGGGAAACCGGGGCUAAUACCGCAUAACAUCACGAGGGGAAGAUCCUUGUGAUCAAAGGAGCAAUCCGCUCCAGGAGGGGGUCGCGGCUGAUUAGCCAGUUGGCGGGGUAACGGCCCACCAAAGCCAAGAUCAGUAGCCGGCCUGAGAGGGCGCACGACCACACUGGAACUGAAACACGGUCCAGACUCCUACGGGAGGCAGCAGUGGGGAAUUUUGCGCAAUGGGGGAAACCCUGACGCAGCAACGCCGCGUGGAGGAUGAAGUCCCUUGGGAUGUAAACUCCUUUCGAUCGGGACGAUAAUGACGGUACCGGAAGAAGAAGCACCGGCUAACUCUGUGCCAGCCGCCGCGGUAAAAC